UACGUAGGGUGCAAGCGUUGUCCGGAAUUAUUGGGCGUAAAGGAGCUGUAGAGCGGUUUGUCGCGUCUGGCCGUAGAGGCGGAACUUCGGACUCCAGCCGACUUGCGUGGGGUACGGGCAGACUAGAGUGUGUAGGGGGAGAACUGGAAUUCCUGGUGUAGCGGUGAAAUGCGCAGAUAUCAGGAGGAACACCGAUGGCGAAGGCAG
rnacentral:rRNA from 1 species